GCCCUCGUAGCCAAGUUGUUUACGGCGCAAGACUUUUAAUCUUGAGAUCGCCAGUUCGACCUUGGCCGGGGGUA